AAUCUUUGACUAUUCUCUGAUCACAUUUGCUCUAGAUCUUCCUUGUCAGCGUUUCCCAACAUGUCUUCAGAAGAUGGCUGGUCGAAGGUUUUGCCUGUGACUCUAGAAAUUGCUGAUGAGGUGAAGCUAGAGCUGGAAAAGAAAGUGGGCAAGACAUAUCCAGUCUUUAAAGCCAUAACGUAUAGAUAUCUGGAACGAAUAGCUGAUGCAAGUCACAAGCUCUUUAAGGUCUCCGUCAGUGACAGCACUGAUGAGUGUGUACACCUGUAUGUGGUAAUAGUGUUUACUGCUCCCCCUGGGAAUCCAAUACUCCGAAACUAUCAGCUGAACAAAACCAAAGAUGAUCCAUUGGAGCCAUUUUGAUUGACAUGCUUGGGACAGGCUCUUCUG
rnacentral:lncRNA from 1 species